AAUCAACGCUGGCGGCGUGCCUAAAACAUGCAAGUCGAACGCCCUAGCAAUAGGGAGUGGCUCACGGGUGAGUAACAUGUGGGAAUAUGCCUUUUGGUACGGAACAACGUUUGGAAACGAACGCGAAUACCGUAUGGUCCCUCCGGGAUAACGAUUUGUCGCCAAAAGAUUAGCCCGCACUAGAGUAGCUAGUUGGUAAGGUAAUGGCUUACCAAGGCGACGAUCUAUAGCUGUUCUGAGAGGAAGAUCAGCCACACUGGGACUGAGACACGGCCCAGACUCCUACGGGAGGCAGAAGUUAGGAAUAUUGGACAAUGGGCGCAAGCCUGAUCCAGCCAUGCCGCGUGAGUGAUGAAGGCCUUCGGGUUGUAAAGCUCUUUAGCCGACGAAUAUAAUGACUGUAGUCGGAGAAUAAGCCCCGGCUAACUUCGUGCCAGCCGCCGCAGUAACAC
rnacentral:rRNA from 1 species